CCAAAAAUCUGAAUCGCGUUUUUAUUAGUUCAAUAUUAUACAUAAUAUAUCUAGGUUCCGAUGUUCCUAACAACAUAGUGGUUUAUGAUAAACAAGUCACCCGCUAUGUUAAGCCAAAAACCAUAAUAUCGUUUCCUAUGAACGCGUGAUGAAAGCAUGCAUAAUGUAAAUGAAACCAUAAAAUGUUCCAACAUAAACGACUAAAAAGGAGGUCCAAACGUGAUUUACAGUUUUUUUCUAUGGCAACACAAUAAAAACGGCUCCCGUUAAAUUUCGAAGUGGCAAUUAAACUAAUACAGAAUUAUGGCAACAUUGUUUAUAUGCCGCAAACCGCUUAUUAUGAAAUAAAUUUAAUACAGAGUUUGUA